rnacentral:rRNA from 1 species
UACGUAGGGUGCAAGCGUUAAUCGGAAUCACUGGGCGUAAAGGGCGCGUAGGCGGCCGAUCAAGUCGGGGGUGAAAGCCUGUGGCUCAACCACAGAAUUGCCUUCGAUACUGUUUGGCUUGAGACCGGAAGAGGUUAGUGGAACUGCGAGUGUAGAGGUGAAAUUCGUAGAUAUUCGCAAGAACACCAGUGGCGAAGGCGGCUGACUGGUCCGGUUCUGACGCUGAGGCGCGAAAGCGUGGGGAGCAAACAGG